ACCCUACGGGAGGCAGCAGUGGGGAAUAUUGCACAAUGGGGGAAACCCUGAUGCAGCGACGCCGCGUGAGUGAAGAAGUAUCUCGGUACGUAAAGCUCUAUCAGCAGGGAAGAAAAAAAGUCUUUUGCUUUUGACGGUACCUGACUAUGAAGCCCCGGCUUACUACGUGCCAGCAGCCGCGGGAAUACGUAGGGGGCAAGCGGUAUCCGGAUUUACUGGGUGUAAAGGGAGCGUAGACGGCAGCGCAAGUCUGGAGUGAAACGCCGGGG
rnacentral:rRNA from 1 species